GCAAUGUGCCAGCUAUUGAGCUAAACUUGGGAUGCUAGAAAAGACAAUCCCUUUUCUGGAUUAGGAAGUUUACAUUUUAAAGAUGCAAGAAGGCACUAAACAAGGGCAGUGAGGUACAACAAGCUCUGUGGUUUUAUUUCUCCUAAAUGGGAGGAAACAUAGAGAGGAAGAAAAGUAUGCAAUCUCAGUUGCAAAUGGAGGCAGGGGCUCACCAUGUUCUCUGAUACGAUUGUACCGCCCAUUGGUAAGAAUCAGAGGCUGAAAAGAUUCUGUUACUGAAACUCAACACUUAGUUGAUACCUGCUACAACUUUAACUACUCGUUGACUGUUUACGGCUUUUGCUGUAAGUUGGAGUAUGGUGACAAACACACAACAGGAGUCUAAAAACUCAAACGUAUCUAAAAGCCAUGACACAGAAGGCCUGGAGACUGCAUGGAAUGAUGAGGACUGCAGUGAACUCUGAAGUGCCUACCCAUGUGAAACGAACAAGUGCUAUUCGGAAGAAGCAGGUUGUGUUAAUCUGAGGCCUUUGAGAUACUAUAUGAACUGCUCCAACAUUCUGAAGAGAAGGUCUGGAUCAUUUAAGUAGGACUUGCAAAGAAAGUGGCCUAGAUCCUUAGCUGAGCUGAUCACUUACCUCAAACCUAUAAAGAAGUGGAGGGGCCAAGAAUAGGUGUUGGAUAUCAGCGGGAGAGUUUCAUCAAAGAGCUGUCAGUUUCAUCUCAACCUUACCCUCCAGGAGAGGUAAGAUGUCCUCUGUCUCACAAUAAAUGAGUUUGACUUUUGGUCCUGGGCAUCUGUGGUACUGAGAGCUUAGGGCUGGCUCCAUGCUUUAAAAUAUGUAUAUGUGAGAACUGCAUGAACUCGCCAGUGCGGAGAUGAAAAAGAAAGAAAAAA
ensembl:lncRNA novel transcript